UACGAAGGGGGCUAGCGUUGCUCGGAAUCACUGGGCGUAAAGCGCACGUAGGCGGAUUGUUAAGUCAGGGGUGAAAUCCUGGAGCUCAACUCCAGAACUGCCCUUGAUACUGGCGGUCUCGAGUCCGGGAGAGGUGAGUGGAACUGCGAGUGUAGAGGUGAAAUUCGUAGAUAUUCGCAAGAACACCAGUGGCGAAGGCGGGUCUCUGGGCAACAACUGACGCUGAGGAGCGAAAGCGUGGGGAGCGAACAGG
rnacentral:rRNA from 1 species